rnacentral:rRNA from 11 species
AGAUCAGGAAAGACCACC